GUCAGGUGUUGUAAGAUCCACAGUCAGGUCCUGUAAGAUCCACGGUCAGAGCAUGUACAAUCCACACUCAGAUCCUGUGAGAUCCACAGUCAGAUCCUGUGUGAUACAGGCAUUAGAAAGGCCACAGUCUGGUGCUGUAUCAUCCACAGUCACUUCUUGUAUCGUCAAGUCAGGUCUUGAAAGAUGCAGUCAGGUCUUGUAAGAUCCAGUCAGGUCCUACAAAAUCCAAUCAUUGGCUCACUCCUCCGCGCUGAGCUGAACA